CCAGGCGACAAAAUGGCGCCGGGCGGGCAGCGAGGGGGAAGGACGGACGAGGGGCGGCCGUGGGAGGCCGGGGCGGCCAGCGUGGGCUUCAGCCGUGCCAGGAGUACGGCGGAGGGGCUCCACUUGAUGGGUUGAAGCCACCACCUCCCAUUCUCCUCACAGUGUGGAAAAUACCCAAACGCGCUUAAGGGAAAAAAAAAAACAAAAACCACAACAAACCACCAGAACACCCGAGGAUUGAUUUAUCUUCAGAGCUGGAAUAGUGCAGGGAAGAAGCCAUCGCUGCUCGUUUUGCUCCCCACGACAACCUGCCCGCCAUUCCGUUAAUUAAAAGCAUGUACUUGGUGUGCUCAGAGGUGGCAAUACCGUUAAAAAAAAAUAAAAACCCCCAGUAACAUCCAAACGCUCGUUGGAGGCUGCAGCCAAGGGAAAUAGAGGAUUGUUUGUCUGACCCCUCUCCGCAGCAGAUACCUCCUUUUGCCGGUAUCUCUGCGUUGGCAGGUGUGGAAAUGUGGAAAUUCAUAGGAACGCUACGCGAGGACGGAUGACCUGUCUUCUGGAGGCACUUCCAACUCCAGAGAAGAAACCCUGAUGAUUUAUAUUUCUUUUUCUUGCCUGUGGUAGCUUUUACUCUGAGCUCCACUGCCUCUUGUGAGUUUGAUCCUUUUGGAUGCUAAAUAUGGCACCGUUUUUAAACCUUGGUGGUUUUUUCCCAUCCCUGUGGUCACUGAGAAGAGGGAGCGGUGCAAUUAAAAGAGUGUAGGGAAGGACAACUCCCUCCCCCUUUCCCCUUUCAGAAAAAAAAAGAAAAAUCCUUCCAGAAUUGUGUGCUCCUGAACUGCUGCAUAGGCAGAAAACAUACAAUGCCGUUGUCAGCAUUGUGCUGAUGUGUGGCACGUUUAAAAAAAAAAAAGGAAAAAAAAAAAAAACACACAAAAGGGGAGACUGGGAGCCUCCAGGGAGUAAAACUGUGGGGCCCCUUCCCUACACAUGAUAGUGAAUUACUCCUAAUUUUGCUCAGGCGAAGGGCUGACGUCGGAGGGAGCGUUGCGAUGGACCUAAAUUGUGUUGGUGAAGAUCAGAGUCCCCUUGAACUUGCUCCUGUGAGAUGCUGCUGGUUUAUUACUCGAUUCUUCAAAGCCUGGCUCGCUCACCGGGCAGAAGGAAAACGCUUCCUUACUGCCUGCAGUUCCUUUUGUUGUGUGGCAAAAGGUAAUAAAAAGCACCUGGCGCUGGGCUCUCCUUGGUCACACGUGACUUGGAGACACGGAGCCCUCGAAGGCGCGCGAGGAGUGUUAGGUACCGGCUCCUCGUUAGCCUCCCUUAAUGAGAAUAUUGGCAGGGGUGUUGGGUGGAUGCUUCUGGCUGACCAGCAGAGAGGCCCUGCCCUGCUAAACUGGAGCAACACCUUAUGAGAAUAUUAGAAACGCGGUGAUUUCCCUGCCAGCGAGGCAGUCCGCUUGCUGAUUUGUAGCACAGCUCUGACUUUAUGCUUUUCUGGCCCCAAAAAAAUGUAGUGGAGGGGAUGUGUUGGUUUGGAGAAACGCCUACGCCUCGUGCUGGUCAGAGGCCUUCGCUGGCGUGGAGGUGCAGUGGACCAUAAGCUUGGCUGGUUGGGAUGUUUCCACGUUUUUCAGCCUGGAAGACCAAAGUCCUCUCUAUUAAGCUGAUGAGAUGCCCUGUGUUUGGGAAAAGCCCUCGCGAGCUUAAGGAUCCAGACCCGGGCUUCGUGCUCAAAGCAUUAGCGGCGCAUGAGACAAUAUCCUCUCUCUUGGCAACAAAACGAGCCCAAAUAUCAAACGGCACCGAUUCCUUCUCGGAGAAAAUUACCCAUCGCGUAAAACGUUAAUGGGUAAGCAAUAAAAUUAGGCCAGUCGUUCAGGCUGGCUUAAAAAAAAAUGAGAUAAAAGCCUAGUUGGCAAUUCAAUAUUCAGCUGCCGUAGUGUCAUUUUAAUAAAUAUAGUCAAUGAGCAGGAAAGGCACGUAAAUACGGUUUACGGUGACAAGAUGGUGGCUGGAGCUGGCAAAGAGAUGCUCUGAGAGGUGUCUGAGGGCUUUUGUCUGGGGAACCACUGUUUUUCUGUAAAAAGUGAAGCAAACUGGUCGCUGCUGGGGAUAAUCACCUCCUGCCUCCGCUCGCUCUGAUCCCUGCCAGUCCCCAGCUGAUGUCCCCGUCGUGUCCCCGGCUGCGAGCACCAAGUACAGGGGGGUUGCUCUCUCAGCCAGCAGAGUUCUGGUUGCUGUCCUUGUUCGGUAUCUAAUCUUUUGCUUUUUUUAACAUGUUUGGCAAGCGGCGCCGGCCACACGUGGCAGCGAGCUCCAUCCACCGCUCGGGUAAGACGCCGCCCUUCCAAACAUCCCAACUUGCCUUUUCGAGCUCGCUUCUAUUUAUUGACGUUUCCUCCUCGAAACGAGGCUGUUUAUGGGUCUUUGUGUGGACCCCGAGGAUGUUUUCUGAUUCUCCUGCCCUUUCCCCCCUCCCCUCUAAACUGGAGAGCUGCUAACUUUAUUAGCUCCAUAUAUGGCAGCCCUGUUUUCUCACGCCUUUAAUGGCUUUCUUUUGAUCUGGCCUCGUCUUGCCUCGUUUUUCUGGACGUGAACCCGGUGUUCAAGCUGAGAUGGGUUUAUAACCUGCCUCCCUUGUUAAUACAUGACCCAUCGGUUUAAUAAUCCUCUCCGAGUGCCGAUAAGA